AGAACGAACGCUGGCGGCAGGCCUCAAACAUGCAAGUCUAGGGGGCGUAGCAAUACGUCACCGGCGGACGGGUGCGUAACACGUGGGAAUGUACUUACUGGUUCGGAACAACUCAGGGAAACUUGAGCUAAUACCGAAUGUGCCCGAAAGGGGAAAGAUUUAUCGCCAGUAAAUCAGCCCGCGUCCGAUUAGCUAGUUGGUGGGGUAAAGGCCCACCAAGGCGACGAUCGGUAGCUGUUCUGAGAGGAAGAUCAGCCACACUGGGACUGAGACACGGCCCAGACUCCUACGGGAGGCAGCAGUUGGGAAUCUUGGACAUGGGGGAAACCCUGAUCCAGCCAUGCCGCGUGAGUGAUGAAGGCCUUCGGGUUGUAAACUCUUUCGACGGGGACGAUAAUGACGGUACCCGUAGAAGAAGCUCCGGCUAACUUCGUGCCAGCAGCCGC
rnacentral:rRNA from 1 species